rnacentral:rRNA from 1 species
AUGCAAGUCGAACGGAUUUGAGGGGCUUGCUCCUCAAGUUAGUGGCGCACGGGUGAGUAACGCGUAGAUAAUCUGCCUGAUGAUUCGGGAUAACACUUCGAAAGGGGUGCUAAUACCGGAUAAGCCCACGUGGUCUUUGGAUCGUGCGGGAAAAGGGGGGGACCUUCGGGCCUUCUGUCAUCAGAUGAGUCUGCGUACCAUUAGCUAGUUGGUAGGGUAAUGGCCUACCAAGGCUACGAUGGUUAGCUGGUUUGAGAGAAUGAUCAGCCACACUGGAACUGAGACACGGUCCAGACUCCUACGGGAGGCAGCAGUGGGGAAUUUUGCGCAAUGGGCGAAAGCCUGACGCAGCAACGCCGCGUGAGUGAUGAAGGCUUUCGGGUCGUAAAGCUCUGUCGAGGGGAAAGAAGUGUACGGGGGCUAAUAUCCUCUGUACUUGACGGUACCCCUAAAGGAAGCACCGGCUAACUCCGUGCCAGCAGCCGCGGUAAUACGGGGGGUGCAAGCGUUGUUCGGAAUUAUUGGGCGUAAAGAGCGUGUAGGCGGUUUGUUAAGUCUGAUGUGAAAGCCCUGGGCUCAACCCAGGAAGUGCAUUGGAAACUGGCAGACUUGAAUACGGGAGAGGGCAGUGGAAUUCCUAGUGUAGGAGUGAAAUCCGUAGAUAUUAGGAGGAACACCGGUGGCGAAGGCGGCUGCCUGGACCGAUAUUGACGCUGAGACGCGAAAGCGUGGGUAGCAAACAGGAUUAGAUACCCUGGUAGUCCACGCCGUAAACGAUGAGAACUAGGUGUUGCGGGUAUUGACCCCUGCAGUGCCGCAGCUAACGCAUUAAGUUCUCCGCCUGGGAAGUACGGUCGCAAGAC